rnacentral:rRNA from 1 species
UACGUAGGGCGCGAGCGUUGUCCGGAUUUAUUGGGCGUAAAGAGCUCGUAGGCGGCUUGUCGCGUCGUCCGUGAAACCAGGGGCUCAACCCCUGGCUUGCGGUCGAUACGGGCAGGCUAGAGUUCGGUAGGGGAGACUGGAAUUUACGGUGUAGCAGUGAAAUGCGUAGAGAUCGUAAGGAAGACCAGUGGCGAAGGCGGGUCUCUGGACAGUUCCUGACACUGAGGCACGAAGGCCAGGGGAGCAAACGGG